UCCGUAGGUGAACCUGCGGAUGGAUCAUUACCAAAGAGUGGUGCUAACGCACACACAUUGCACUGCCUGGAAUUCCGGGCAGUAUGCCUGUUUGAGUAUCAGUAAACACUCUCUUCUGCUGCGUUGCCUCUACUAUAGAGUGUGACGGUUGAAGAGAAAUUGGGCCAUUAGUGUGCCGCUCGGCACAGUAUGGCUUUAAAUGCAGUCACCCGGUGGUAGCCUUCAGUUGUUGCCCAGCAGUAGAGUUGAUGGCUCCGGCCUUAAACUAUUGCUAGGGCAACAUGCGCUGUGGCUCACGACCGCCGUGGUGUUACAACAAAAACACUCUGGCGUAUUAAGACCCCAGGACAUUGAUCUCAAAUCAGGCAAGAUUACCCGCUGAACUUAAGCAUAUUAAUAAGCGGAGGAAAAGAAACUAACAAGGAUUCCCCCAGUAAUGGCGAAUGAAGAGGGAAGAGCUCAAAUUUGAAAUCUCCUCGGAGAAUUGUAGUUUGUAGAAGUGUCUUCGUUGGCAGCCCGGGUCCAAGUCCUCUGAAACGAGGCAUCAUGGAGGGUGAUAAUCCCGUCUAUGGCCCGGGUACUGUCACGCUACGAGGCACUCUCAAAGAGUCGGGUUGUUUGGGAAUGCAGCCCUAAGCUGGUGGUAUAUUUCAUCUAAGGCUAAAUACAGGCGAGAGACCGAUAGCAAACAAGUACCGUGAGGGAAAGAUGAAAAGAACUUUGAAAAGAGAGUUAAAUAGUACGUGAAAUUGCUAAAAGGGAAACGCUUGAAGU
rnacentral:rRNA from 1 species